rnacentral:lncRNA from 1 species
UGUCUCAGUGUUUGUUUCCCAGGCAACCUGAUGUAAGAAGUGAUGAAAGUCAAACAAACAACCGUAAAUCUGUACAAUGAAACGUAUGACAGGAAAGCAACAGUGCCACUGAGCGCAGUAAGAGCAUUCAACCCAGACCUGAUGGGUUGUGAAGAUGCAAAGAGAAGGGUCAGGGCAUUACCUCCUCAGGAGUAGAUACUCACCUAUGGGCCACACCAGGCAACAAUUUAAUCUUCACCCUCAGUCAUUGCUUCUGACUUGUGGAGUGCAAACAUCUAUUUCACACGGGGUAUUAAGGAUGGCAACGCUGUUUUUAAGGACACGGAUUACUAACUGCCUUUGAAUAUAGUUCAGAAACUCUGAAGAUUCUGGUCUACUAAGAGAUACUGUUCUCAGACACAAAAACUGCUUUAUGAUCUCCAUUUUACAACCAUGAAAAUCAGAGGCAGAGUGAUUAACAAAAUCCUCAGAAUCUGAGAAUGGAAGAGUCAGAAUUUUACACCACAUCUAACACCAAGAGCAGCAUCUUGAUGACUUUUCAUUUCAAGCCAAGGAGCUUGGACUUCAUUCUUUAAGAAACAAGGAGCCAUUGCAGAUUUUUGAGCAGACUCCCACAUUCUCUCAUCAGCAUUUGUGUCCCUUUAUCAUCUUGACUAACUUAAUUAUGGUAGCAUCAAGAUGUCCUUUCAGAAUCCCCUCUCAAAAUAAGAUGUGAACAUUUUAACCUCCCAAAUGGAAAUACUUGGAAGGUUUAGAAGAAAGAGAAAGACCUUUCCAUUCAUACCCUUUCCACUGAAAUCACAAC